GUUUGAUCCUGGCUCAGAAUCAACGCUGGCGGCGCGCUUAACACAUGCAAGUCGCACGAGAAAGUGGAGCAAUCCAUGAGUAAAGUGGCGUACGGGUGAGUAACACGUGGAUCAUCUACCUUUUAGUGGGGAAUACCCCUGGGAAACCGGGGACAAUACCGCAUAAGCUCGUAAGAGGAAAGCAGCAAUGCGCUGAAAGAGGAGUCCGCGGCUGAUUAGCUAGUUGGCGGGGUAACGGCCCACCAAGGCGAAGAUCGGUAGCCGGCCUGAGAGGGCACACGGCCACACUGGCACUGAAACACGGGCCAGACUCCUACGGGAGGCAGCAGUGGGGAAUCUUGCACAAUGGAGGAAACUCUGAUGCAGCGACGCCGCGUGAGCGAUGAAGCCCUUCGGGGUGUAAA
rnacentral:rRNA from 1 species